UUUCUGAGGUGACUAAAAGGGAGAACAGAGCCCCUGAGAAAUCCCAAUACCAGUCAGUUCUAAUGCAAUGGCUUUGGGAUUAACGAACUCUCUCUUUCACAGCCAUAUCGUCUACUCCCGUGGAGUGUUGCUUUAAUUACAUGACUGGAGCCAUUCAGCUUGCUAAACUGGUGGAUUUCUACAAUACCCCCCGCGAGUGUCACUUACCAGCUGUUGUGUUGGAGACGGUUGCUGACCGCAAGGUCUGUGCUGACCCCUCAAAGCCUUGGGUGAAGAGGGCAAUCAGAGUCUUGGAGGCAAAGAGGAAACAAACCUCACUUUCUUAGAACCACAGAUAAACACUCCACCCCACAGCCACGCCAGACCCAAUUGCCUCCGGUUGUCUCUGCACAUUUCCUGUCUUCAUUCCACAUACCUCACUGGACUGUUCUUGUUUCAGCACUGACAGACAGACAGCUCAGUCCUGACAGAGUGAGCGAGCUCUGUGCACUUACAGAAGGACACACUGUGCACUACAGCCAAAGACAUUGUGUUUCAGACUGUAAGUGUCCUUGCAAGAACACCCACAAGCUGUAACAGACGCAUAUAUAAUAAAGCUUCAUUGCUACUCUGCAA